AUGGCUUCCUCCACUCUCGCCUCCCACUUCCUCCCGUCGCUCCCCACCCCAAACCAUAAGCGCCUCUCCCUCCGCCUCCCAGCUCGCCGUCUCCCGGUGGCUGCCCCCGCGUCCCCUUCGGGCCCAGCGGCGGCCGCCGCGGCGAGGGAGCGGCGGCGGUUCCUGGAGCGGUACGGCCUCAAUCCCGAUGACUACGAGGAAGAUGCCGAGCCGGAUCCCAGGGAAGAGAGGAGGAGGGAGAGGCGGAUGCGGCGGUCGGGAAGAGGGGAGGAUGAGGCCGCGGUUGCUCCAGUCAAGGCGGUGGAGCGCCGGGAGACUCAUAAGAUGCUUCAGGUACUAGGUGGGAAAGUACGCAGAAGAAAAUUACUCUCACCAAAAGAUAGGAAUGUUCGUCCAAUGAUGGAAGUUGUUCGGGGAGCAGCCUUUGACAUUUUACAAUCAGCUGGUGGUUCUCCUGCUUCACUCAGACCUGGUCGGUGGUUAGACUUGUACAGUGGUACUGGAUCUGUUGGGAUUGAAGCUAUGAGCCGAGGCUGUUCAGAGGUACAUUUUGUUGAGAUGGAUCCUUGGGUGGUUUCUGAGGUCCUUAAACCUAACCUGGAGUGUACUGGUUUUCUUGAUGCUUCUGACAUACACAUGCUUCGCGUUGAAACCUUCUUGGACAAUGCUGAAAAAUCUAAAGGUAGAUAUCCUUCUUUCGAUUAUAUUAGCGUAACUCCACCAUAUGUUGAGGUAAACUACAGUACACUACUUGAUCAACUUGCAAGCUCACCGUUGGUUGGAGAAGAUUGCUUCAUUCUAGUUGAGUACCCACUGAAAACAGAUAUGGCUGAAUCCUGUGGAAAGCUUAUUAAGAUAGCUGACAGGAAGUUUGGUAGGACAAACCUGCUAAUUUAUGGGCCAACCUGGUCAGAGAAAAAGAAAAAGGUCCUGAGAUAACUUGUGUGGAAUUGAGGCUAGUUUUACACACGCUCUAUGGAAAUCGUUGUUGCGUGAGGUGUGAAGUCUUCGUAGGAAUUCCUACCUGUCCCAGUGAUAGCUCACCUAGCGGCCUCAUGUGAAGAUGUUAUCUUGGUGCACUGGGUGGGAGGGAAGUAAUUAUCCUCCAUUCUUGUUAGCAGAUCCACAUCCGACAAGAAAAACGAAGGCCCCUCUCUUUUCCAAGCUUCAGCAUCAAGCCAUUAUGAAGUCACCUUGAUGGACACGAUCCAAUGGGGUUGUCGACACCAGAAGGCCUCUAGUUCUACAGACUACAAGCCCGCAUAAUGUUCUAUUCCGAUUCUGCCUCACGGUUCCGGAUAGAUCAUCUAAGUCGUGCAGAGGGCCAUUAUGAAUGCUGGUUCUAGCUGCACCUUUUAGGCUUGGAUGUGCUUUAGAUAAUCUCCCAUGAAGGCAUACAUGGUCUCUGGCCAGCGAUGUACUCCGGAUCAAGACAUGCAACCAUGUGCGAGUGCCGCCUGACCUGCCUUACACUGCACGGGAUUGGCAGCACGUGUUCCCGCACGCGCCAUGCUAGUCACCACUAGUACUAUUCAGCGGGGCAGUACGAACCUGUCUCUGCAGCAAAAGCUGAACCGUCAAUGAGAAAUUGUUCUGUUUCUUGCGAAAAAAAGAACAGCUGGAUGUAAUGAACAGGAGUUAGAAAAGAAAUUUGACAGA